GUAGAAGGGAUUUUCCUGCUCAUAUCAAAAUGGCUGCUUCCACGACAGUUAUGAUCAUCAUCACACCGCUGUAAUCCCAGGGGAAAACCAGCCUUUUCUGAAGUCUCCUUCAACCUUCUGCUGACCUUUACUCCAUCUCAACCGCACACGUUCAGGAAAGUGAAAUUAGCCCGAAGAAUGGAGAGCUUUAGGGCAGGUUUGCUGUGUGGAGCGUCACGAGAUAAAAGGGAAAUGGAUCAAUGUGGAAAGGUUGGAUUUGAAGGUGCAUGUGCACAUGCUGCAGGAAUGCUUAAUGGCUGGAACGAUGAACAAAAAGUGGCAUUUAAGACUGUUAUCAUCCUCCAGUGACCACUGCGAAGAAGGACAUACGCUGUUGACUGGGGGCUUUGGACGCGGAGCGUAAAAAAGGAAGCCUGCUCCUCCAUCUGGCCUCCUUCAUGUUAAACCCGUCCUGUCUGCCUCCACACAAAAGAACAAAAGCAUGCAGAGUCCGUAUGUUGGACUUGGACGAGGGAAAUCUGAUUAGAAGUGAACAGAUAUAUUUGGGCAUGUUUACUAAAAUGCAUAUUUUUCAAGAA